AAAUUGAAGAGUUUGAUCAUGGCUCAGAUUGAACGCUGGCGGCAGGCCUAACACAUGCAAGUCGAACGGUAACAGGAAACAGCUUGCUGUUUCGCUGACGAGUGGCGGACGGGUGAGUAAUGUCUGGGAACUGCCUGAUGGAGGGGGAUAACUACUGGAAACGGUAGCUAAUACCGCAUAACGUCGCAAGACCAAAGAGGGGGACCUUCGGGCCUCUUGCCAUCGGAUGUGCCCAGAUGGGAUUAGCUAGUAGGUGGGGUAACGGCUCACCUAGGCGACGAUCCCUAGCUGGUCUGAGAGGAUGACCAGCCACACUGGAACUGAGACACGGUCCAGACUCCUACGGGAGGCAGCAGUGGGGAAUAUUGCACAAUGGGCGCAAGCCUGAUGCAGCCAUGCCGCGUGUAUGAAGAAGGCCUUCGGGUUGUAAAGUACUUUCAGCGGGGAGGAAGGGAGUAAAGUUAAUACCUUUGCUCAUUGACGUUACCCGCAGAAGAAGCACCGGCUAACUCCGUGCCAGCAGCCGCGGUAAUACGGAGGGUGCAAGCGUUAAUCGGAAUUACUGGGCGUAAAGCGCACGCAGGCGGUUUGUUAAGUCAGAUGUGAAAUCCCCGGGCUCAACCUGGGAACUGCAUCUGAUACUGGCAAGCUUGAGUCUCGUAGAGGGGGGUAGAAUUCCAGGUGUAGCGGUGAAAUGCGUAGAGAUCUGGAGGAAUACCGGUGGCGAAGGCGGCCCCCUGGACGAAGACUGACGCUCAGGUGCGAAAGCGUGGGGAGCAAACAGGAUUAGAUACCCUGGUAGUCCACGCCGUAAACGAUGUCGACUUGGAGGUUGUGCCCUUGAGGCGUGGCUUCCGGAGCUAACGCGUUAAGUCGACCGCCUGGGGAGUACGGCCGCAAGGUUAAAACUCAAAUGAAUUGACGGGGGCCCGCACAAGCGGUGGAGCAUGUGGUUUAAUUCGAUGCAACGCGAAGAACCUUACCUGGUCUUGACAUCCACGGAAGUUUUCAGAGAUGAGAAUGUGCCUUCGGGAACCGUGAGACAGGUGCUGCAUGGCUGUCGUCAGCUCGUGUUGUGAAAUGUUGGGUUAAGUCCCGCAACGAGCGCAACCCUUAUCCUUUGUUGCCAGCGGUCCGGCCGGGAACUCAAAGGAGACUGCCAGUGAUAAACUGGAGGAAGGUGGGGAUGACGUCAAGUCAUCAUGGCCCUUACGACCAGGGCUACACACGUGCUACAAUGGCGCAUACAAAGAGAAGCGACCUCGCGAGAGCAAGCGGACCUCAUAAAGUGCGUCGUAGUCCGGAUUGGAGUCUGCAACUCGACUCCAUGAAGUCGGAAUCGCUAGUAAUCGUGGAUCAGAAUGCCACGGUGAAUACGUUCCCGGGCCUUGUACACACCGCCCGUCACACCAUGGGAGUGGGUUGCAAAAGAAGUAGGUAGCUUAACCUUCGGGAGGGCGCUUACCACUUUGUGAUUCAUGACUGGGGUGAAGUCGUAACAAGGUAACCGUAGGGGAACCUGCGGUUGGAUCACCUCCUUA
rnacentral:rRNA from 1 species